UACGGAGGGGGCUAGCGUUGUUCGGAAUUACUGGGCGUAAAGCGCACGUAGGCGGCUUUGUAAGUCAGAGGUGAAAUCCCGGGGCUCAACUCCGGAACUGCCUUUGAGACUGCAUCGCUUGAAUCCAGGAGAGGUGAGUGGAAUUCCGAGUGUAGAGGUGAAAUUCGUAGAUAUUCGGAAGAAACACCAGUGGCGAAGGGCG
rnacentral:rRNA from 1 species